AUCGCUUGUCAGCCUUUUGGCUAACAUCAAGUGUAAUACUAUUCCCA
rnacentral:snRNA from 1 species